rnacentral:rRNA from 1 species
AACGAACGCUGGCAGCAUGCCUAACACAUGCAAGUCGAACGAGACCUUCGGGUCUAGUGGCGCACGGGUGCGUAACGCGUGGGAACCUGCCCUUAGGUUCGGAAUAACUCCCCGAAAGGGGUGCUAAUACCGGAUAAUGUCUUCGGACCAAAGAUUUAUCGCCUUUGGAUGGGCCCGCGUUGGAUUAGCUAGUUGGUAGGGUAAAAGCCUACCAAGGCGACGAUCCAUAGCUGGUCUGAGAGGAUGAUCAGCCACACUGGGACUGAGACACGGCCCAGACUCCUACGGGAGGCAGCAGUGGGGAAUAUUAGACAAUGGGCGAAAGCCUGAUCCAGCAAUGCCGCGUGAGUGAUGAAGGCCUUAGGGUUGUAAAGCUCUUUUACCCGGGAUGAUAAUGACAGUACCGGGAGAAUAAGCUCCGGCUAACUCCGUG